rnacentral:rRNA from 1 species
AUUGAACGCUGGCGGCAGGCCUAACACAUGCAAGUCGAACGGCAGCACAGAAGAGCUUGCUCUUUGGGUGGCGAGUGGCGGACGGGUGAGUAAUGUCUGGGAAACUGCCCGAUGGAGGGGGAUAACUACUGGAAACGGUAGCUAAUACCGCAUAACGUCGCAAGACCAAAGUGGGGGACCUUCGGGCCUCACACCAUCGGAUGUGCCCAGAUGGGAUUAGCUAGUAGGUGGGGUAAUGGCUCACCUAGGCGACGAUCCCUAGCGUGGUCUGAGAGGAUGACCAGCCACACUGGAACUGAGACACGGUCCAGACUCCUACGGGAGGCAGCAGUGGGGAAUAUUGCACAAUGGGCGCAAGCCUGAUGCAGCCAUGCCGCGUGUAUGAAGAAGGCCUUCGGGUUGUAAAGCACUUUCAGCGGGGAGGAAGGCGGUGAGGUUAAUAACCUUGCCGAUUGACGUUACCCGCAGAAGAAGCACCGGCUAACUCCGUGCCAGCAGCCGCGGUAA